rnacentral:rRNA from 1 species
UACGGGGGGAGCAAGCGUUGUUCGGAUUUACUGGUCGUAAAGGGCGCGUAGGCGGCCAGCACAAGUCAGUUGUGAAAUCUCCGAGCUUAACUCGGAAAGGUCAACUGAUACUGUGCGGCUAGAGUGCAGAAGGGGCAACUGGAAUUCUUGGUGUAGCGGUGAAAUGCGUAGAUAUCAAGAGGAACACCUGCGGCGAAGGCGGGUUGCUGGGCUGACACUGACGCUGAGGCGCGAAAGCCAGGGGAGCGAACGGG